GCUGUGAGAAGAAGACAGAGAAUGCUUAAGGAGCUGCUUAUGGGAAACAUCCAAGGCGGUAUGAAACUCUAGGAAUAUGAAACUUUUGCAGUAUAGUGACAACACUUGGCUGCAGGAUAAACUUAGAGGACUGAUUAUAAGAGAGGAGGUUGCAGGCAGCUCACACUUGGUACUGGUGAUUGCAUCACUUGUGUGACCUUGUCUUUGCCUUAAAGUAAACCUGCAAGAUCUUAUGCAAAAGUCUGUUGUUUUCAUAGCAGAAGCUGAGAACAGAAGAGUUUUCCUCUAAGAAAAGGCCAGAAGACCAAUAGAGACUACAAUGAUGGAAUAAUUUGGAAUACUUUGCCACCAUGUUCCCACCAGGGCUGAAAAGCCAGCUCUCACAAGCUGGCCACACCUGUUUAUUGCUUCCAUCAUAUAAGUGACAGUGACAGAAGGAAAAACAUCACUAUAGGAAUCACUCCAACUACAUAAGAAGAAAUUAAUAUUGAUAAUCUGACUGCAGCUCCUCUGUUUAAGGCUUGCUUAUAUGAUGUCUUCAACUAUAAUGAGAAAAUCAUGGGUCCUCCAGAUAAAAUUGCCAUAGCAAAGUAAGAGCUCUAAGUUCUCCUUCAAAGAAGCAGUAGAAAAACACCAGCUCAACCAAACCACGAAACAUCAACGACCUUGGCACAGCCAUGACCACCAGCCAGGUGGCAGAAUGAUGCAGCACAGCUCUCAUGUCAAAAACACGGUGCUGUUCGCUAUCAAGGUUUAUUACUGAGGCAAAUCAAGGCUGAACUAUCCUU